UUUGAAGCUAUGGCGCCAGUCGUAGUGGAGCCAUCCUUGAAAUACCACCCUUACUCUUUUCGAUGUCUAACCGCGCCCCUGGAUGGGGCCGGGACCCAGCCUGGCGGGCAGUUUGACUGGGGCGGUCGCCUCCUAAAGAGUAACGGAGGCGUGCGAAGGUAAACUCAAUGUAGAUCGGAAACCUACUGAAGAGCGUAAUGGUAUAUGUUUGCCUGACUGCAAGAUUUACAGAUCGAGCAGAGACGAAAGUCGGUCAUAAUGAUCCACAAGUACUGCGUGGAAAGGCUUGUGCUUAACGAAUCAAAGAUACGCCAGGGAUAACAGGCUGAUAAUUCCCUAGAGUCCAUAUCGACGGAAUUGUUUGGCACCUCGAUGUUGACUGAUCAUAUCCUGGGGCUGAAGAAGGUCCCAAGGGUUCGGCUGUUCGCCGAGUAACAUGGUACCUGAGUUGAGUUUAGAACGUCGUGAGACAGUUUGGAUUCUACCUGGGGUGCGCGUAAGAAUUGAGAAAACCACAUCCUUGUACGAGAGGACCGGAUGUGUACAACCUCUGGUAUAGUAAUUGUCCGGCCACGGGCAUGGUUACUACGCUACGUUGUGAAAGGAUAAGUACUGAAAGCAUAUCAAGUACGAAACUUUUUUCAAGACAUAUUCUUUAUCGUAUUGUAUAUCGUACAAGUUGAGUACGUUAAUAGAUAAGCUGUGUAUUAUUUGUAAAAAUAGAAGCAUCCUUAUACUAAAC
rnacentral:rRNA from 1 species